ACUUAGACAGACUAUGAAGAGAUACAUAGGGUGAGAAACGGAGGCCUUCAGCCAACAGCUGGGAGAAGCUGAGUCCCAUCAGCCAUUCAAAAGACUGCAGCCCCAGCCAAGAGUUUGAUGUAACCUCAGGAGAGACCCUGAGCCAGAACCACCUAGAAAAGCUGGGAUACAUGAAGACUGCCAUCCCUUGAGUCACUUGCCCUGUAGCUGCCACUGUUGGAAAAGGGCUUGCUUCUGUGUCCUUGUGCCCACUUUGAAAAUCCCUGGGAAGUCCUUGGAGUCAGAUGAGCAGGCCUCCGCCACUCUGCCAAAAAGUCUGUUCAGAAGUUUCACAUCACUAGAGAAGAGAGAAGAAGGACAUUUGUACUGGGAGGAGUCGACCGGUCCCAGUAAGGAGAAAGUAGCUACAGCGUCAUGGGUGAGCUGGGUCCCCCAAAAAGGAACUUUAAGGGAAUGGACUGAAUCAAGUCUGAGAUGUCCCCAAAGCAAGACCAAAGAACUGAGGAAGAGAAGCAUUCAUCAGAAACCAAAAUUCAGCUACAAGUGAGCAUCCAGAUGGAGGUAUUAUGAAGAGGAACUGAGACUGAGGGCAAAAGGUGCCAGCCAGAAUCCUGGAUAGGAGAGCAAGAACCAGGACCUCAUUUAAGAGACAACCUGCUUAAGGCAGAGUAAGGUGAGAUUGGAUUCACGCAAAGACCUGGAAUUCAAGUAGGUUAAUGAACAGACAGUGUGUGCCUAUACCACGAAUUUACAAUAAUAAUAAGGGUGCUAAUAAUCACAUGGAAUUGUAGAGUAUAAUGAAAAUAUACACACUGGAGAGAAAUUGCA
rnacentral:lncRNA from 1 species